GGUCUGGUGGUCUAGUGGUAUGAUUCUCGCUUAGGGUUCACCUUAAGUCAAAAUGCGAGAGGUCCCGGGUUCAAUCCCCGGCCAGACCC